CAGGAGUCGGAUGCUUAACCGACUGAGCCACCCAGGCACCCCUAAACAGACAUUUCUCCAGAGAAGAUAUACAGGGCCAGUAACAUUAAAUGAUGCUCGGCAUCAUUAGUCGUUAGGGAAAUUUAAAUCAAAACCACAAUGAGGUGCCACUUCACACCCACCAGGAUGGCUGUCAAGAAAAAGACAGAAAAUGACAAGCGUAAGGAUGCAGAGAGUUGGAACCCUCACACAUUGCUUGUGGGACAUACAAAAUGGUGCAGCUGCUUGGAAAACAGUUUGGCAGUUAAUCAAAAAGUUAAGCAUAGAAUUAGGAUCUGAUGAGUAAUUCAAGAGAAUCGAAAACAGAUGUUCAAACAAAAACUUACACACAUGUUCUUCGCACCAUUAUUCUCAAUAGCCAAAGGGUGGAAACGGUGCAAAUGUCCACCAGCUCAUGAAUGUAUAAACAAAAUGUGGUACAUUUAUGCAAUGGAAUAUUACUCAGCCAUAACAGAACAAAGUCCCGGUACACUCUACAAGCUGGAUUAAACUUGAAGACAUUAUGCUGAACAUGUUGGUUAUUGCUGAUAUGGAAACAUGCUACGAAUUCUUAUAGGAUGAAAUCCAAAUCUUGAAGGUUGCCCACCAGGCCCUCUGCCCGCCUCUCCUGCCUUCCUUCCCUCUGGGCCGGGACAGCCCUGGCUUCCAUGUGACUCCCUGUGAUGCGAGGUGGAGCUGCUAUUCUCCUGAAUACCUUCCCACAUCUCUGGAACGUUCUUCUCACCAAGCCUCACCUUCCUUGGGUCUCAGUUUGAACGUCCUUCUCCAGAGCAGCUUUCUCUGACCUAAUCCUGGGUGCCAUCUCCCUCUGUCCUCUCCUACAGCUACCUGUGCUUUAUAACCUGCAGGCUCCAUCUGGAAUAUGUUAGGUGUGUGAUAAUUGACUGUUGUUGGCUCCAUUCGCCGGAAUACAAGCUCCCUGAGAGCAGAGACAGAUACGGCUCUUUGUUUGCUCUGAACCCAGCACUAGCACAACACCUGACAUGCGGCAGGUUCUGAGUACAUCUUCAUUAAAGGGGUCAAAGGAGCAGAGGUGAAAGUUUUACUCUCCCAAUUUUUAAAGGGGGUACGGCAGAGGGCUGAAAUGUCAAGGGCCUUGCCUGCUGUCACCCAGCGAGUCAGUGGAGCUCUGGGAUCCCACCCCAGGUCUGUAGACCCUGCAGAGGGCACCCCCCCACCAUCCCUACUGAGGUCUCGUGCCGUACCCAAAGUCCCUGGGUGAACAAGGUAGACACUGGAUUCACAGCCUGGCUUCUCCAUCUGUUCUUUCUGCUACAACAAACUACAGCACGCGCACUUUGGUUGGGUACCUACUAAGUGCCAGGGACCGUGCUGGAAGCUGGGGAAGCAGAGUGAAGCAGCAGACACAUUCCCACACUCCUGGUGCCCACAUCACUUUGGGAGGAGGAGGAAACAAACAGAAAAGUCCAGUAAUAAUUAUGAAUCCUGAUAUCAGCCGCAGAAACUUAGCAAAGUGUCCUAGGCGCCAUCCAUAGAAGUCCCUGCCUCCGGGCAUUUGGGAAGUUUCUUCCACCCCCAGCCUGUCCCUGAGGCCUCCCUGGCUGGCUAAUGCUGGCUCCUUUCCCAAGGCCGUCCCCUCUGCCGCAAGUGCUCCCGUCAGGCCACCACCAGGGGGCAGCUGUGCUCCGUCUCAGCCCGUUCCCUUGCCAGCCCAGCAAGGGCCUCUUUCCACCAGAAUCUCCGACUUGGAGGGCGGGGAGAGGAGAUGCAGGUGAGAAGCAGAAGAGGGGAGAGAAGGGCACUAACAGGUGCCCUGGGCUCCACAGCGAGGGUGUCUUAGGGAAUCAGCUCUGCCCAGACAUAGGGAAGAGUUUCUCAGUUGAUU